ACUGGAAUAAAGGUGAGUAAUUACAGAAAGGGGUCAGGCUAGCUUCAGUCCCGACUGCCCUGCUCCAUGGACUUACAUUCCAUCCUUAGAUCAGCUGACUGUUCAAACUCAUUCUUGAUAAAUUCCCUAUAGAUAACUCCUUUCACUUUAGAUGUCCCCCUUAAGCGUCCCAGGAGAAGGUUCAAUCACUCAUCUUCUCAUGCUUUUCUCACUUCUGUUCUCUUGCAGGUAACCUGACUGGGACAGCAGAAGAUUAUCCCAGUUCACCGACCAGGGGAUUGGCAGUUUUGGAUCUUGACCUGAAGGAAUCAACCGGCAGAAAGGCAGGUGAGGUCGUUCUAGGCAGAGGGAACAAAGUGGGCCAGCAUAGGUGUGAAGACACACAGACUGAAGGAUGGUUCUGGCUGAAGGGAAGGGGGCCCACAGGGUUGGAGGACAUGGCCCCAGAUUGUUCAGGACCUUACAUGUCAGGGGGCCCGCAUCCUUAGGAGCAUGCGAUUUAACCAGAUGUCACUGUCAGAGCCCAGAGAUUUCACACCAAUCCUAGCACAUUGUAGCUGCCAAAGGUAAAAGCCAUUCACAUCUGUACUGGCGACUGUGGAAAAUCAAAGAAGCACUUAAAUCUCUUUUCCUUUUUCUCACAUUUUCACUCUCGCCUAAUCUCUAUCUUUAGCCUUUACUCUCCACCCCGUCAAGUCCUCCUCAUAAAACUCUGCCCUGAAUCAGACCUCAGGUUCUGUGCCUUCUGACUCCAUUGUCUGCUCUCACGAUCCUCUCUUUCUCAUAAGAAACACUUGUUCCUAUUGCAAGUGGGAUGUAUUAAAUGAGUCUAAUAUGUAUAUUUUAAUCUCUACCACAUAGGACCCUCCCAGGUCAGAAUGGGCAGGUGAGGACAGAAUGGACAGAUGAGAACCUUGGGACAAAAAUAAUUGAUAAAGCUGUUGUAGUGAUCCAGGUAACAGCUAUUAAGUUUCUAAACUAAGACAGUGACCAUGUGGAUAAAGCGGAAACUUAUUCAAGGAUCUUUUAAAGGUAAAACUAACAGAUUUUGAGGUCUCAUAUGGGGAAGAGGGAGGCUAAGGUAAUUUAGAGUUUUCUGGCUUGGCCAGGUUGGUUGAGCCUUAAAUGAAAUACCUGCUGUGGUGAUAGAGAACAAAACCACUGCAAUGAAUUUGAGUUGCCUGUGUAAUACCCAGUGGCUAUAUAUAUGUACAGCCUGGAGCUUAAGAGACAGAUUUGAGCAUAAAAUAGAAUCAUAGGGUUGCCUUUCACUGGGAGUGGAUGAGUUCACCUAGGAGAAAUAGGCAGCAAUCUGACUUGUUAUCAGUUAAAAUAAUGCUCAUCGGGUUGGAGGCCUGAUGCCCCAGAUGUGGUGGUGAGCACUUCGCAUCCCUUCUCUCUCUCAAAUCCCCUAACAGAGUACGUAUUUCAGUGCUACUGCUCCUGCUGAUGAGCAGCUUCUUAAAAGCUAAGUCUCUCUGUCCCACAGUGCCAGCCUUUGAAUUCAGGGUUGUCAGAGCAGCAGUUCUUAAUCUUCUUUUUUCCUUUCUAUAGAGUCUCAGGAUCACAUGAAAGAAAUCAUAGCUCUGUCUGACAGAGGCAUGAGCACCCCAUCUUCUAUGUUCCUUUUCCAUAAGAUUUCACAAACUUAAAGCCCAUGCUCCAUGGCCAGAGAGAGAAGACAGCCCAAAAUGAAACCCUGGAAAAGUGUUUUGGUGAAGACAAACAGAGGCAAUACCAGAGACAUCAGGGAAGGCAGAGAAGGAUGCAGUUGAGUUGGUCUAGUUAACGGUUUAGACAGUUUAAUCUUAUUUAUCAACCCUAUCCACCCACUUAGGUGGUUUUUUUUUUUUUUCUUCUUCUUCUGCUUCUUUCUCCAGGAUAACUGGAAUCAAUAUUGAGAUGAAAAGUUAGACCCUGGCCUGGGCAGGGAGACUGCUGAAGAAUUAAAAAUAUGAGUGUGGCCAAGUGACGGCCUCAUCUGGGUACUCAAGGAAGAACGGGGAGCUGCCAUGUAAGUCCACGCAGGCCCCUAAAGAUGUUGUAUUUGCACUUUCCCUCUUACAUCUUAUGAUCCUCCUCCUAGGUAACUUGUCUAUGAUCAGACCGGUUAAGNNNNNNNNNNNNNNNNNNNNNNNNNNNNNNNNNNNNNNNNNNNNNNNNNNNNNNNNNNNNNNNNNNNNNNNNNNNNNNNNNNNNNNNNNNNNNNNNNNNCCUAGGUAACUUGUCUAUGAUCAGACCGGUUAAGGGAUUCGUUCAGAGUUACGGAGCACAGUCCAUGUUCAGUUUUAUAUGGCCAGUAGUGAAGAACGGCUCUCUGUGUCCAAGACAGAUCCAGAAUUAGCACGCUGACACACGACUAGGUCAGGAAACAAAGGCACAGGACAGUAGGGUCCAAGUGGCAGUCCAGGUUUCAUUUUCAAAAGCAGGGCUGUUCAGAGGUGUUUGUGAUUCCUCGGUCCUGAGUGAGACCCUGACGGUGGAUAGAAGUGGCGUGGAGGAAAAUAGCGCCGGAGUGAAGGCUUGGGAAGUGAGCUGUUGCUGUACAGGUUGUCUUUUCCAGAGGCGUUAGAGUUGAGGGGAGUCAGAGCCAGCUGCUCAGGUUUGGAGUGAACGGGACAUGGUGGCUUAGAGUUCUCAGGGCGGUGAGCACAGUGAGUGCUGGGUAGUGAGCAGCUUCACUGAGAAGGCAUUUUGAAUGAGGGCGGAAACUUAACGGCCAGCAGAGAACCAAGGCAGUAGGGAACCAUGGACAUCAUCUUGGCCCUGAGUUUCUGAGGUGUAGAUGAAAUAUAUCCUCUAAGCCAGAGGGUUUCAAGAAAAGUAGAGUCCUCAAAAA
ensembl:lncRNA